UACGGGGGGAGCAAGCGUUGUUCGGAUUUACUGGGCGUAAAGGGCGCGUAGGCGGCGACUUCAAGUCAGUUGUGAAAUCUCCGGGCUUAACCCGGAAAGGUCAACUGAUACUGCAGGGCUAGAGUGCAGAAGGGGCAACUGGAAUUCUCGGUGUAGCGGUGAAAUGCGUAGAUAUCGAGAGGAACACCUGCGGCGAAGGCGGGUUGCUGGGCUGACACUGACGCUGAGGCGCGAAAGCGUGGGGAGCGAACAGG
rnacentral:rRNA from 1 species